rnacentral:lncRNA from 1 species
AGAUCCUUCUUUAAUCAUCAGCGUUGCUGGGUCGUCGUACUCCACCAUUUCUCCUAGAAAGCAAAAUAGAGAGAUCUUAUUCAGGUAAAUUCCUUCCCCAAAUAAACCAUUUGUCAUCGACCCAUUGGGCCUCACUGAAGAAACCGAUCAGGUUAUGUGAAUCGUCGUCAGUUGUGUCAGGAAAAAUAAUAAACUAUUUCAGGCAUGAUCUCACCGCCGCUAAUUGUGAGUACCCUUGUGCAGUCCAUGACAGUAGGUAUUCUAUGAGCCACAGUAAGGACCGUAGAGGCAGCGAACUCGGUUCUGAUGGUCUUUUGAAGGAUGGCAUCGGUGGCGUUGUCAAUGGAUGCUGUGGCCUCAUCAAGAACCAGUAUUCUGCUUCUCCUCAAC